AGAUUGAACGCUGGCGGCAGGCCUAACACAUGCAAGUCGAGCGGCAGCACGGGUACUUGUACCUGGUGGCGAGCGGCGGACGGGUGAGUAAUGCCUAGGAAUCUGCCUGGUAGUGGGGGAUAACGCUCGGAAACGGACGCUAAUACCGCAUACGUCCUACGGGAGAAAGCAGGGGACCUUCGGGCCUUGCGCUAUCAGAUGAGCCUAGGUCGGAUUAGCUAGUUGGUGAGGUAAUGGCUCACCAAGGCGACGAUCCGUAACUGGUCUGAGAGGAUGAUCAGUCACACUGGAACUGAGACACGGUCCAGACUCCUACGGGAGGCAGCAGUGGGGAAUAUUGGACAAUGGGCGAAAGCCUGAUCCAGCCAUGCCGCGUGUGUGAAGAAGGUCUUCGGAUUGUAAAGCACUUUAAGUUGGAGGAAGGCAGUUACCUAAUACGUAAUCUGUUUUGACGUUACGACAGAAUAAGCACCGGCU
rnacentral:rRNA from 1 species